GACGAACGCUGGCGGCGUGCUUAACACAUGCAAGUCGAACGGAAAGGCCCUGCUUUUGUGGGGUGCUCGAGUGGCGAACGGGUGAGUAACACGUGAGUAACCUGCCCUUGACUUUGGGAUAACUUCAGGAAACUGGGGCUAAUACCGGAUCGGAUCUCCUGCUGCAUGGUGGGGGUUGGAAAGUUUCGGCGGUUGGGGAUGGACUCGCGGCUUAUCAGCUUGUUGGUUGGGUAGUGGCUUACCAAGGCUUUGACGGGUCGCCGGCCUGAGAGGGUGACCGGCCACAUUGGGACUGAGAUACGGCCCAGACUCCUACGGGAGGCAGCAGUGGGGAAUAUUGCACAAUGGGCGGAAGCCUGAUGCAGCAACGCCGCGUGCGGGAUGACGGCCUUCGGGUUGUAAACCGCUUUCGCCUGUGACGAAGCGUGAGUGACGGUAAUGGGUAAAGAAGCACCGGCUAACUACGCG
rnacentral:rRNA from 1 species